GAGGGAGCUCGCGAGAGAGUCCUCAAUGAAUGAAUGGGGUGAAUAGAGCUAAACGGCUAACAACUCUAAUUACAGAUAACGACUAACUACUUCUCCAGGAUUUUUCUUAAAUCAAGGAAAGAAGAAAAAUGUAUUUUUAUUCCGGCCACUUUGGUUACUCAAUGGACACCCCCUCCGAGAUGCCCUAUUAUAAUAUCUUUAUACGCAGGUGUCACUGGUGAGAAUAAAUUAAUGAGGCUUCGGGCGUUUGUAGAGAAAACAUCGCCGCCCAGUGCCGUUCAGGGCAGGUCAGUGUUCUGAUAAUUAAACGGAUAUAUUUUUAUGCUUUUAGCUUAAUACCUAGUAGUUUACUGAUAAUCUCCAGUGUAUUUCAAAACUAUUUAAAGUCAGUGAAAAGAGGCUAUUAAUGGGGCUGUUUUUGUACUCUGGUAACACUUAACUGUUGU
rnacentral:lncRNA from 1 species